rnacentral:rRNA from 1 species
GAUGAACGCUGGCGGUCUGCUUAACACAUGCAAGUCGAACGGAAUCCCUCGGGAUUUAGUGGCGGACGGGUGAGUAACACGUAAGAACCUGCCUCUAGGACGGGGACAACAGUUGGAAACGACUGCUAAACCCGGAUGAGCCGAAAGGUAAAAGAUUUAUCGCCUAGAGAGGGGCUUGCGUCUGAUUAGCUAGUUGGUAAGGUAAAGGCUUACCAAGGCGACGAUCAGUAGCUGGUCUGAGAGGAUGAUCAGCCACACUGGGACUGAGACACGGCCCAGACUCCUACGGGAGGCAGCAGUGGGGAAUUUUUCGCAAUGGGCGAAAGCCUGACGGAGCAAGACCGCGUGGGGGAGGAAGGUUCUUGGAUUGUCAACCCCUUUUCUCAGGGAAGAACAAAAUGACGGUACCUGAGGAAAAAGCAUCGGCUAACUCCGUGCCAGCAGCCGCGGUAA